rnacentral:rRNA from 1 species
GCGAGAUACCUGCGCACCAGGGAAAUCCGGUGCGCGCAAGGGGAAGGCGCGAAGCAUACGGAAAGCUGCGGCAAGUACGGAAAAGCUGAGAGCAGGCUUCCAGGAAAAGCUUCUAGCACAACACGCAUCGGCCCGUACCGAAAAUGGACACACAUGGGCAAGGAGAGAAUCCUGAGGUGAGCGAGAGAACUAUAGCUAAGGAACUCUGCGAAAUGACCCCGUAACUUAGGGAGAAGGGGUGCUCCAGAAAUGGAGCCGCAGUAAACGGCCCAAGCGACUGUUUACCAAAAACACAGCUCUCUGCGAAGGCGCAAGCCGAAGUAUAGGGGGUGACGCCUGCCCGGUGCUGGAAGGUCAAGGGGAGCUGUCAGCGCAAGCGAAGCAGCGAGCCGAAGCCCCAGUAAACGGCGGCCGUAACUAUAACGGUCCUAAGGUAGCGAAAUUCCUUGUCGGGCAAGUUCCGACCCGCACGAAAGGCGUAACGAUUUGGGCGCUGUCUCAGCUGUAGACUCGGUGAAGUCUUAGUACCUGUGAAGAUGCAGGUUGCCCGCGACUAGACGGAAAGACCCCAUGGAGCUUCACUGCAGGUUGACAUUGGGCUUGGAUGCAUGAUGUACAGGAUAGGUGGGAGGCUGUGAGCCGUGCGCGCCAGCGUACGGGGAGCCGCUGUUGGGAUACCACCCUUCAUGCAUCUAGGUCCUAACCGGAGGCAACGGGCCACGGGACAGUGUCAGUCGGGCAGUUUGACUGGGGCGGUCGCCUCCCAAAGAGUAACGGAGGCGCCCAAAGAUACCCUCAGCAUGGAUGGAAACCAUGCAUAGAGUGCAAAGGCAUAAGGGUGUCUGACUGCGAGACAUACAGGUCGAGCAGGGACGAAAGUCGGGCUUAGUGAUCCGGCGGAUCCGAAUGGAAGGGCCGUCGCUCAACGGAUAAAAGCUACCCUGGGGAUAACAGGCUGAUCUCCCCCAAGAGUUCACAUCGACGGGGAGGUUUGGCACCUCGAUGUCGGCCCAUCGCAUCCUGGAGCUGAAGUCGGUUCCAAGGGUUGGGCUGUUCGCCCAUUAAAGCGGUACGCGAGCUGGGUUCAGAACGUCGUGAGACAGUUCGGUCCCUAUCUGUCGUGGGCGCAGGAGGUUUGAGGAGAGCUGCCCCUAGUACGAGAGGACCGGGGUGGACGGACCGAUGGUGCACCAGUUGUCACGCCAGUGGCACAGCUGGGCAGCAAAGUCCGGACGGGAUAAGCGCUGAAGGCAUCUAAGCGUGAAGCCCCCUCCAAGAUGAGACCUCCCAUUGGCGACAAGUAAGGCCCCUCGAAGACGACGAGGUUGAUAGGCCGCGAGUGCAAGCGCAGCGAUGUGCUUAGCGGGGCGGUACUAAUAGGCCGAGGACUUGGCC